GAUCCCAGCUGUGUCUAGUUUCCUGAUUACCCUCCUCCUGUAUUUAAGUCCACCUGUUGUCUUUGUCUCUUGUUGGUCCUUGUCUAAUGUCAUUCAUUCAUCAUCUGUUUGCUUCCAGUGAUUUUGAGUUUGUUUUCCUGAUUCUUUAUUAAAACCAUCAUUCACCAUCAUGACUACCUGGGUUCAGCAGCGUCUUCCUCACCUCCAGCCACCGCACAUCACGACAGCAUAGAGCUCAAACAGAGACACAGUGAAUAUAAAAAGGCUAAACACUCCUGUUGAAAUACCAGCCUUCAUCUGCAGAAAGGUUAAGAAUCUUCAAAAUGAAUCUUCAUCCAUAAUCAGGAUGUUUGGAAAAGUUUUUACGGCAGCACUGAGGAGCGACGUGACGUUCUGGUUGUGUUCUGGAGACUCACAGUGAGCUCAGCAGAUCCGACACGGCAGAGCGAGAGCUAAAUGACAGAGUGGGGAGCAGAGAGGUGCCCCUGUGUCCCUGGUCACACCAUUUGGAGCUUCAUGGUGGAGCAGCUAGCAGCUCUGCAGCAGGAAAACCGAAUCCCAGCCUGGGAGCUUUUACUAUGAAGUUUGUAUGUUUCCCCCGGUUCUGCAGCUUCCUCAAAAACAUGGCCGCUAGGUGGUUACCUUAGAUUCCCCUUUAGGUGUGUGUGACUGGUACAGGUGGAGGGAAACUUCCUGUCUUCAUCCCACUAGUUUCCAUUAACCAUAUAAUUGUGCAAAUUGUAAUAAUGAAAGUAAAUUUACUUAAUGGCAAAGAUGCGAUUUUAUUUUAAAAAUUGUGUUUUUUGAUAAGUUUUUGCGUUAGGAUGAAGUGGAUAUUUGGCAAAACUGCAAUGGAAAAAGUUUUUUGCAUAUCAGACGAGUCACAUGAUCAACGACUGGAUGUUUCUACUGGCGGAAAAGAAGAAGAUGAUGUAGGAGGAUGACGGGACGGCGUGCUUUUUUAAUAAUUUAUUGUGUGAACAAAUUUAUCCACAUGACAUUUUAAUUGAGCUCUUAAUUAAUGGA